AAUCUCCAGUCCUUGACUAAUUGGGAGCCCCCUUUGCAGGCACUCUAAAACUAAAUUGUGAUGUUGCUUGGAAAAGGGGAGAAAGCCUUGCAACUGUGGCAGUGCUGGUAAGGAAUGCCAAUGUGAAGCUGAUUGAUGGUACAGCUAAGAAAGCGCUUUGUUCCUCCCCUUUGGGGGGUUAAGUUCGUGCAAUCCUAGAAGGAAUUCUUUUAGCUCGGAAGAUGGGAUGUGCUUCAAUUAUUUUGGAGUCAGAUUCAUCAAAUCUUAUGUCUGCUUUACAAAGCCCCCAUGGUAGUAUUGAUUGGGAAAUUAAAGCUUUAGUUAUAGCGAUUUGCUCUUUUAUUUCGAGCUUUUCGUCAAUUUUUUUAAGCUGGUGAAUCGGAAAGCAAAUGCGGUUGCUGACUGUUUAGCUAAAUUAUGUUUUAGGAAUUUGUUGCCAUGCAACUUGCUUCUGAU
rnacentral:misc_RNA from 1 species